GGAGUCUUGAAAUUACGGUUCAAUGCUACGAUUUUGUCAUCAAUCCUGUACGGGAUUUCGAUAUAUGCGAGUGCUCCAAACUCGAUUUUGCAAAAACUGAUUAAUGAAUAUGAAAAAGCAGCAAAUUUAAUGUUUAAUUGGAUAAAAGAUUUGGAUGUUAACAGUCAGUUAGUGGAUGUUUUUGAGGUAUUUCCAAGUUACAUGCAAUGCCUUCACAGGCAGGACCUUAUGUUGAUACAGAAAUGUAUAGAUGGUAGAAUCAAUUCACGAAAUAUCUAUUAUGUUAUUCCAAACAAGAUACUGAGAAAUACACCAAUAUUAAGAAUUACGAAAAC
rnacentral:lncRNA from 1 species